GGGCCUGUAGCUCAUUUGGGAGAGCAUCCGCCUUGCAAGCGGAAGGUAGUGGGUUCGACUCCCAUCAGGUCCACCA
rnacentral:tRNA from 1 species